CCGGUGAGUUGUGGAGGGAGCGGCUCAGGGCUCCCCAUCCUAUUGGAGAAGUCGUGGCACAGAGCGGUGAAGUCACCACGGACUGGAGAAGGGGAAACAUCCCCCUGCAGCUCAAUGGCAUCAUGAUGUCCCCACAAGCCGAGGCACAGCUGGCGUGUUCUUCUGCAGCAAGAUGUGGAGCCAGAGAACGCCGUCCUGGAGCUGGACACUGGUGGGACAAAACCAAUGGGCUUUGCUUCCAGCCCCUUCCUGGAGGACAUGCUCUGCACCCCGACAAAAUCAAGAUGAGUCCCCAGCCGGCGCAGGGGCGGGGGGAUGCUCGUGCUUCCAGGCACGGCAGGGCUCGGCCUGGCCACGCACUGGAGGUUCCCCUCUCAGCGGCAAUGGGGAAUAUGAAUCUUUUCGCCUCCUGUCCAGCUGCUUUUUGGCGCCAUAGGGGACGGAUGUUGUGGAAGGGGACCCGACUCCUGGCCUCGCUGACAGCUUCUGCCAGCAUGCCUGGCGCGGGCUGGGCUGGGGGCAGCCAACCUGACAAAAGCAUCCAUCCCUGUGGAUGGGGAGCGACAGGGGGGGAUGGGUUGUGAAGCCCUGCCCCAGCUGCUCUGCUUUGCAGGCCCUUGAGGAAGGGAUGGGCUUAUGAGUGGGAAAGGUGGGGUUUUUCCCCACGUGUGGACAGGUUUCAUUCUCGCAUGGAGUGGUCAAACCCUCCCCAAACCUGUGAAAUGCUGAUAACCUUUGGCGCUUUUUUUCAUAUCCAGGUCUUGUUUUGAAUUGACUUUCAUGCAAUUGUUCUUUGAUAUCUUCAGGAAGAUUGCACCUGGUGCCCGGAUGGGGUGGGAAAGCGCUGGCACUGUCCGUGGAGUCCAUCCAAUGCCGGUGCUACCCCGGGGGGCCAUGGAGUGCAGGGACGUCCCCUUCAAGAAGGACAGGGACCUCGUGUGGGAUCGGCUCCUCUCCUGGCAGCAGGUCUCCAGAGGCUACCAGCACCUCCUGCCCUGGAAAUGGCACCGCUCGGCCUACCAGUCUGGGAGGGCUGGAGGGCAACAGGUGUUCAUUUGCUGUCAAAAAUAAAUCCUUUUGUUGUUGUCAUCGUCA